GGGUUCGAAAUUUGAUGACAUAAAUGUUAUGAGGAAUUCUUUUGAAAAACAGAAUCUUGAAAUCGGAUGCAUUUUCCAUUAGACUUUUUUAUAUGUGCCUGAAUUGGCAUUGGUCCCUAGAACCUAAAGCCACUUUCAAAAACAUAUCUAACGCCGACCGUACGAAACACCUAUUUGUAUCAAAAGCCUUUACUGUGAAACCCUUCAUUUCUUUUACUUCAUUCUCUACUGAAAAGCUAUUCGCGCUUUAAAAUCACUUGCA